UGGUUAAAAAGCUCGUAGUUGGAUCUCAACAGCCUUGAAGCGGAUAACUUUGUAGUUUUACUGCUUUAUAGGCUGUGCUUUUGCUGGAGGUUUAGGGGUGCUCUUGAUCGAGUGUCUCUGGAUGCCAGCAGGUUUACUUUGAAAAAAUUAGAGUGCUCAAAGCAGGCUAAAAUGCCUGAAUAUUCGUGCAUGGAAUAAUAGAAUAGGAUGUCGAUCCUAUUUUGUUGGUUUUCGGGACUCGACAUAAUGAUAAAUAGGGACAGUCGGGGGCAUUUGUAUUCAAACGACAGAGGUGAAAUUCUUGGACCGUUUGAAGACAAACUACUGCGAAAGCAUUUGCCAAGAAUGUUUUCAUUAAUCAAGAACGAAAGUUAGAGGUUCGAAGGCGAUUAGAUACCGCCCUAGUUCUAACCAUAAACGAUGCCAGCUAGCGAUCUGCCUGCGUUUUUACUGUAGACUGGGCAGGAAGCUUCCGGGAAACCAAAGCAUUUGGGUUCCAGGGGAAGUAUGGUUGCAAAGCUGAAGCUUAAAGGAAUUGACGGAAGGGCACCACCAGGAGUGGAGCCUGUGGCUUAAUUUGACUCA
rnacentral:rRNA from 1 species